UGGAUAUACUAUAAAAAAUUAUAAUUUAAAUUUCACGAAGAUGGACGAGCUAAAAAAACAUAUAUUUUAGUAUAUAUAUAUAAUUGUAGCAAUAAUUAGUAAAUAUAUAUUUUUAGGAGUGAAAGGCUUAUCAAGUUCAUAAAUAUCUUGAUGGGUAAGAAACAUAUGUAGUAUACUUACACACUAGAAAUGCUAAGGUUUUUAGUGUAGUAUAAUUGAGUUUUUUUACUACUCUAUUUGAUUAAUCCCUAUAGAAAAUAUAUCAAAUUAUUAAAUAAAUGAUGUAUAUACUUAUUAUUACCUAAUAUAUAUUAAUUUAAAUUAUUUAGAUAUAAUGUAUAUAUUAGUAUUUAUAAUAGUUUUUAAUAAGGAACUCGGCAACAAAAAAUUUCGACUGUUUAUCAAAAACAUAGCCUUAAGUUAUUAUUUAAGGUAAUCCCUGCUCAAUGAUAUAAUUAAAUAGCCGCAGUACCUUGACUGUGCAAAGGUAGCAUAAUCAGUUGGCUUAUAAUUGAAGUCUGGCAUGAAAGGGUUUUCGGGGUUUUACUGUCUUGUUGAAAGUUCUAGAAAUUACUUAAUAAGUGCAAAUUCUUAUAUAUGUGAAAAUAGACGAGAAGACCCUAGAAAUUUUUAUAAAAUAUAUUAUUAAUAGACUUAUUUUGUUGGGGCGACAGGGUAACAAAAUAAACUUACCAAAGUAUAUAAGAAAAUGAUUAUUUGUGUAAAUAAAUUACUCUAGGGAUAACAGCACAAUUUAUUUUUAAGUUUGUGACCUCGAUGUUGGACUAGGAUCUAUUUUGUUCAAAAAAUAAAAUAUUUGGGCUCUGUUCGAGCUAUUUUUCCUACAUGAUCUGAGUUCAGACC
rnacentral:rRNA from 1 species